UCUUGGGUCGCAGAAAGAGCAUCUCUCUCUGUCUAUUCAAAGAUCCGAGACAGCUAGUUCAGUUGGUGACAUUGGUUCUCCGUCUCUACUCUCCUAUCUCUCUCACCCUGGUUGGGCUCUGGCUUAGUGUGAUUAAACUGUGAAUCAAGUCAGGAAGAAGAAGUCCAGCUCCAGGCUUUAAAGAAGAAAGACCUGGCUUCAAGGGCUUUAGCAGUUCUCCAAGGCUAAUUCAAUUCACGAUUGUUGAAUCUUGCUAACGUCUGUAAUUUAAAGAGAGUGCCCCCAGGGGGGAUAAGCUCUUCUCUCUAUCCUGUGCGUGCUAUUUAUAAUAAGGAAUACCUGGCCCUAAAGGACCAGACUCUAAAUUCCUGGCUAUCUCUAAAUUCUUUCACUACUCUUUCUCUUAGCAAAGUCCUCCCACUAGUUCUAGAAUUCAUUCCUCUGCGUCUGCAGCUAUUGAUGCGGGAUAACAGCGGUUUGUGGCCUAAAGGCCGGUGCCCUACUUACUUACCAAUUUUUGACUUGAGGAAUCGAAUGCCUUCUCUACUCUGUUCUCUCGCAACCAGUUCCCUUGGUGAUUGGAUUCAACUCCUGAAUGCCAUUGUCGAAAUAACCCCAGCUGCUAAUGUGACGCCCCCAAAAUAGGUAUACAUCACCCAUUCUGAGUUGUCAAUACAUGGUACAGAAACAACUACAACUUUAUUAUUACAACAGUAAAACUGUGAGUUUGAAUACAAAUAUUAUCUUCUAGACAAUAUCUAUACUCAAAUAAAUCCUCAUCACAUUUAUUGAUACAUUAUUUUACAAAANNNNNNNNNNNNNNNNNNNNNNNNNNNNNNNNNNNNNNNNNNNNNNNNNNNNNNNNNNNNNNNNNNNNNNNNNNNNNNNNNNNNNNNNNNNNNNNNNNNNUACGCAUCAGCGGCAUUUGCUACAUAAUCCGCAUCUCUUGUCAGAAUUUAUACUAUAAGGGAGGACAAAAAGUCUGCUUAGUAUUCUCGGACCCGGGGGUGAUUCCAUUCACUUCUUCAACUGCUAAGAAGAAUAGCUUUUCUUCCCAGAUCGGGAUUCCUAUAAUAAAAUAAGUAUCAAAAUAAGGCUCAGGCCAGCGAUGAGGAUUAGUUGGCAAUUGCCUUAUUAAAUGGAAUUGAAUGAAAUUCAAGGAGGAGAUGCGAGGAAGAGCUCAUUAGAUCCAUGCCACUUCGAACUCCAAGUCUUAAGCAAACUGGCAUCUACCUUGCCUUGCUCUGUAGCCGGAAUAGAUAGAUUCAAGGGGCGAAGGAAAGAUAGUUCUUUGAGUGACAGAGAUUCCGAUUCAACUUCUCCCACGGGGAAAUCCAGCCUUUAUAGUUCAGCUAGCCUAUUAGGCGCUGUGUAAGAGCUCUAUGCUAUCUAUGGAAUAGCGGUCAGUGCUGCUUGAUUGACUGCUUGAAAGUUUGAAACAAGUCUUGGAUUCGGAAGAGAAGUAGGCGUAGAGGAUAUUGAUAAAGAUCCCACAUCUGGUUAACUGCUUUAGGAGUGCCGGCUCCAGGCUAGAGAAAAGAUAGGCUAUGAAGCUGUGAAAAAGAGUUUCUAUCGAAAGUUUUCUUUUUAGUCACCGAUAAAGAAAGUAGCUAGGCUUCCUGGUGGUUUGAAAGAGAUCUUAGUGCCUUAGACGACCUAGAAGGAGGAUUGCUUCUCUCACCCGUAGCAAGGUAGCCCAAGAUUCUUUUGAGACGAAUGAAUGCCGAAGAAAGGAAGGCCUGAGAGCUUACUCCGCUGUUCGUGGUGGAAUAAGGGCUUAGGAGUAGUAGGGCUAAAGGCAUGCCUUAAGGCAGCUCGUGACCUAAGGUAGGCGCAUUAGAAUGAAUUAGUGUUAGUUUUGGCAUUUCUCGCAGGGGAAUAGGAAGAAUUUCAAAUGACAAAGCGAAAUUCUCUUAUUAAAAAAGCGGACUAGGAGCGGAAGGCGAAAGGGGAUUUCUUUAGUAAGGAAGGAAAGCAAGUUAGUUACAUCUAUCUUAAAGUCUGAUUCGGAUUCUGCUCUCGCUGUUCUCAAAGUAGCGAAGUUACCAGAGGGAGAAGCUCUGAUUCCUCUUGUUGAAUCGACUCUUUACAACGUAUCGUAUUACUAAAAAGCAAAUACGUUAUAAGAUAAGUAAGGGCGAGAGGAAAGAGACAACAGCUGUUUACUAGCAAGCAUUGAAAGCAGAUGCCAGAAUGACUCUUUGAACUGAACGACGUAAUAAAUAAAGAAACUAGCUGCCAUCAAGACUGAACGAGAUGAGGAUUAAAGAAAAUCGAACUGUGAUAACCUUUGUUUUUACCAUAAAAGCAGAAAGAAGGAAAGAGAACAGAUGAAAGUUCGCCCAAAAGAAGCGAGUGACUCAAGAUAUGCCAUCGCUCUUCUCUCUUGACCUGAGACUUGGGGGAGUUCUGUGAGCGAGGAGCGAAGCCUUUCGGUAGCUGUUAAAAAGAAUCAAUGAAAUCAGCUCCAGAGCUAGGAGUUCUAUGUCUAGGUUGAGGGUUGAGGAGAGUCCUUUUAGUUAAUCUUAGCUGCUACCCUACUUAUCCCAGCUCUAAAGGCAGCUACUGACUCGUCAAGUUGAGUCGACUGUGAUUCUUCUUGUUCCGCUGUGAAUGGUAUCGUUAUCGUAUUCAGUAGUUUUCCCGGCUCUCCGCUAAAGCCCUUUCUCCCGUGCCUGGGUGAAUAUGAAUGUCUUUCUCCCGGCUUACUACGAUUUCCGGGUGGGAAGAAAGUCAUUGCUAGCUCUUUGAACGAAUACGCUCUUGGGCCGCAGGAAGAGCAUCUCUCUCUGUCUAUUCAAAGAUCCGAGACAGCUAGUUCAGUUGGUGACAUUGGUUCUCCGUCUCUACUCUCCUAUCUCUCUCACCCUGGUUGGGCUCUGGCUUAGUGUGAUUAAACUGUGAAUCGAGUCAGGAAGAAGAAGUCCAGCUCCAGGCUUUAAAGAAGAAAGACCUGGCUUCAAGGGCUUUAGCAGUUCUCCGAGGCUAAUUCAAUUCACGAUUGUUGAAUCAGCCGUGAUUGCUAACGUCUGUAAUUUAAAGAGAGUGCCCCCAGGGGGGAUAAGCUCUUCUCUCUGUCCUGUGCGUGCUAUUUAGAAUAAGGAAUACCUGGCCCUAAAGGACCAGACUCUAAAUUCCUGGCUAUCUCUAAAUUCUUUCACUACUCUUUCUCUUGGCAAAGUCCUCCCACUAGUUCUAGAAUUCAUUCCUCUGCGUCUGCAGCUAUUGAUGCGGGAUAACAGCGGUUUGCGGCCUAAAGGCUGGUGCCCUACUUACUUACCCAUUUUGGACUUGAGGAAUCGAAUGCCUUCUCUGCUCUGUUCUCUCGCAACCAGUUCCCUUGCUGAUUGGAUUCAACUCCUGAAUGCCAUUGUCGAAAUGGGUCUUACAGCUAAGAUCCAAGUCCCAUUCAAUCUCUUGGAAGCAAGGGCGGCUUCUAGAAGCUAGCUCUUCUACUCCCAAGAAGUCCAAGCACAGGAGAAAUGCUUUCUUCAAAAAUUCCU
rnacentral:lncRNA from 1 species